UGCGGAUCUCGAAAGCCUGUCCCAGUUCGGACUGGAGUCUGCAACCCGACUCCACGAAGUUGGAUUCGCUAGUAAUCGCGCAUCAGCCAUGGCGCGGUGAAUACGUUCCCGGGCCUUGUACACACCGCCCCGUCAAGCCAUGGGAGCCGGGGGCGCCUGAAGUCCGGGACCGCGAGGACCGGCCUAGGGCGAAACUGGUAACUGGGGCUAAGUCGUAACAAGGUACC
rnacentral:rRNA from 1 species